GAAGUGGCUGUCAGUGGCUGCCAGCUAAGUUACCUGUCUUUACCGACACGACAACCGCAACCACCGCAGCUUCUCCCUCAACCCAAACCCUGUCCUGCAGUCCAGGGCUUUGCAGUUGAAACACAUUGUUACUAUUAUCACUACUGCAAGUUAGUUUGUAGCGAUAGGCAACCAGGAGACACGCUCACCAUAUCUACUGCCAUUGCAUGGAUUGGAGGACAGGAUCUUGCUCCAUUUUUCCGACAGUCACCCUGAUUUCCCGGUUGCUCAGUGGAUCCCGGGGGACGGCUACCAGA